AGCAGCCGCGGUAAUUCCAGCUCCAAUAGCGUAUAUUAAAGUUGUUGCAGUUAAAAAGCUCGUAGUUGAAUUUCGGGAUCAAUAUGUUGGUCGUGCCUUGGUACGUACUGGCGUCAUUGGUUUCUACCUUCUGAAGAACCUCGAUGUCAUUAAUUUGGUGUCUUGGGGAAUCAGGACUGUUACUUUGAAAAAAUUAGAGUGUUUAAAGCAGGCUCACGCUUGAAUACAUUAGCAUGGAAUAAUGAAAUAGGACGUUUGAUUCUAUUUUGUUGGUUUCUAGGAUCGACGUAAUGAUUAAUAGGGAUAGUUGGGGGCAUUAGUAUUCAAUUGUCAGAGGUGAAAUUCUUGGAUUUAUUGAAGACUAACUACUGCGAAAGCAUUUGCCAAGGAUGUUUUCAUUAAUCAAGAACGAAAGUUAGGGGAUCGAAGACGAUCAGAUACCGUCGUAGU
rnacentral:rRNA from 1 species